AUGUUUGGAAAAAUAUGUAGGUCAGUGGAACAUUUCCUGCAUUGGUGCAAAAGGAGAGGAGGGCAGCGGGGGAGGGGAGGGAGAGGCAGAGCGGAGUUCCGAGUGCGCGCUCCUGGCCACAGCCACCCGCCCCCCCUCAAGUGCUUCUGCCGAGGAGGGGGGCAAUUAGCAGGUUCCUUUCCAUCCCUGACCCAUUUUCCUGACAGGCUAUGUUCUCCUUGGAAGAAACAUCCCCCCAGCAGGCGCUGCGGUCCUCCCCGGAUCAGCGCUCGCCAGCGUCUCCCCCGACCCCAGCUUCCCAGCACUCCCCCCAGCCCCACUGCUCGCUGUCGCCGCCGCCGCUCAUUGAUAAAUCGCAGUGUUCCCCGCGCAGAGGCGCGCCCUGUGCCCUGGGUCUGGCUCCGCGCGCAUAGCUGCCCCGCGAGGACAGAGUGGAGGGGACUACAGUCUCAUAUUCGCCCCCCAAAGCACGGGACAGUGGGGUGGCAGCGGUGGGCACGGCGAGGGUCUGCACUAGGCAGGAAGGAAGAUUCCUUGCUAUCCCCAGCGACAACUUUAUCAAGACCUCAGCUGGCAGCCCCGCAUCCGCUUGCCUCCCCUCUCGGCCAGUUCACCUCAAAGCACAACCACCCCUCCCGCGCCCAGUCCCGACCCCGCACCCCAGGCUGGACCCCGCCGCGCAUCCCUGGCAGCACUGCGGAGGCGGGGGAGGCCUCGGGGCGCGCGGGUGUCUGCGCCGCCCAGGGAUGCUGGGGGCCGGGGGUCCAUCGGCCGAGACGGCGCUCAGGGUGCCUGUCCCAGGCUGCGUCGGGGCCAGGGCCAGGCGUGCCUCCAGGACAGACCCGGCCGGCGGCGGCCGCGGGAGCAGAGGGAAGAAGAAGAAGGAGGAGGAGGAGGAGGAGGAGGAGGAGGAGGAGAGGGAGGAGGAGGGAGGAGGAGGGAGAGGGGAGGGGGAGGAGGAAGAGGCGGCGGCGGCUCUCCCCGCCGGCCCUGCGUGCGGAAGAGUUUGCCGCGCCAGCAGCCGGCCUCCCGCAGGAGCCAGGGGACCGGCGCGGCGGCGGCCCGAGAGCGGCGGCCGCGUAG
rnacentral:lncRNA from 1 species